CAGGCCUCCAAUCGACUUGAUUCCAAAAGCAAUUUUUCUCGCCUUGACGUCGUCCAUAACUUCUCUGAAGACAUCGGAGUGAAAAACGAACUGUGGAGGGCGCUGCAAGGCCGAGAAGCCGCACAGCUCGAGCUGGAAAUCGCCUCCCUUCACCGGCUGAUAUCUUUCGAUUCCGGCCACCUGCAGUGAUAAACCUUAGUCCAUUGGAAGCGCCUUGGGACGUAGAUGAUGCUCCCCGAAGCUUUUGCAGAGAUUUGAAGCGUGGAGGAAGAAUCGACGGUUUGAAGUUGGAGGUUACUAUUCACGAUUCGGGUUCAACCUUCCCCUUAAUUGUUGAGGACGAGGUACCGACUCAUCGUUCGUUGAAGGAACUCAUAUACGUGAUCGUCGGAAUAGUACUUUUGCAGGCGAAAUUAGUUGAGGUCGGGCGUACAUGGAGUCGAGGCAUAGCCAACAGCAUUGCUUCCGCGUACUCAUUCUAUUUCUGUUUUCUUUGUUACCUAGUGGAUUAGUAUUGCUCUGAUAACCUAUGGGAUUAAUAUUGCUUUUGGGUUGAGACUGAUAUUUGUGAAAUUGGAGUUGUGAUUUGGGGAGCAGAUGGCUCCAGAAGAUUAAGGAUGGAUGAUUUAGAAGUGUAAAUGUUUUCCUACAGGUUUU